UACAGAGGGUGCAAGCGUUGUUCGGAAUUAUUGGGCGUAAAGGGCGCGUAGGCGGUGCGGUAAGUCUGCAGUGAAAUCUCUGGGCUCAACUCAGAGUCUGCUGUAGAAACUGCCGUGCUUGAGUGUGGGAGAGGUGAGUGGAAUUCCCGGUGUAGCGGUGAAAUGCGUAGAUAUCGGGAGGAACGCCGGUGGCGAAAGCGAGCUGCUGGCCCUCUUCUGACGCUGAGGCGCGAAAGCGUGGGGAGCGAACAGG
rnacentral:rRNA from 1 species